GAUGAACGCUGACAGAAUGCUUAACACAUGCAAGUCUUUGGCGAAGCUGUGCUUGCACCGCCUAGCCAAGGCGGACGGGUGAGUAACGCGUAAGGAACUUGCCCUGCAGUCAGGGAUAACAGACGGAAACGACUGAUAAGACCUGGUAAAGUCAGGCGGACUCAUGUCCAGCCUGAUGAAAAGAGAUGCUGCAGGAGAGCCUUGCGUCCUAUUAGCUUGUUGGUGGGGUAACGGCCCACCAAGGCGAUGAUAGGUAGCCGGUCUGAGAGGGUGGACGGCCACAAGGGGACUGGGAUACGGCCCGUACUCCUACGGGAGGCAGCAGUGGGGAAUAUUGGACAAUGGGGGCAACCCUGAUACAGCAAUUCUGUGUGCACGAUGAAGGUUUUCGGAUUGUAAAGUGCUUUCAGCAGGGAAGAAAAAAUGACGGUACCUGCAGAAGAAGCGACGGCUAAAUACGUG
rnacentral:rRNA from 1 species